rnacentral:rRNA from 1 species
UUGGAGGGCAAGUCUGGUGCCAGCAGCCGCGGUAAUUCCAGCUCCAAUAGCGUAUAUUAAAGUUGUUGCAGUUAAAAAGCUCGUAGUUGAACUUCGGGGUCUACCCAUUGGUCAGGCUUAAUUGUCUGCACUGGUGAGAUGGAUCUCUACCUUCUGAGGAACUUUCAUGCCAUUUAUUUAGUGUGAUGGGAAAUCAGGACUGUUACUUUGAAAAAAUUAGAGUGUUUAAAGCAGACUAUCGUCUGAAUACAUUAGCAUGGAAUAAUGAAAUAGGACGGACUGAUUCUAUUUCGUUGGUUUCUAGGAUCACCGUAAUGAUUAAUAGGGAUAGUUGGGGGCAUUAGUAUUCAAUUGUCAGAGGUGAAAUUCUUGGAUUUAUUGAAGACUAACUACUGCGAAAGCAUUUGCCAAGGAUGUUUUCAUUAAUCAAGAACGAAAGUUAGGGGAUCGAAGACGAUCAGAUACUGUCGUAGUCUUAACCAUAAACUAUGCCGACUAGGAAUCAGACGAUGUUAAUUUUUUAAUGACUCGUUCGGCGCCUUACGGGAAAC